rnacentral:lncRNA from 1 species
CAAAAUCAAGUCUUUCUGGUUGUACAUUUAAAUUGUAUAAAAGUGUGUGAGACAAACAAAUGUGAAGUACCAGUACCAAUCAAAAUAUGUGUAAGGUAAUUACAGAUAGUGUAUGUACCCUAUAUCACAUCUGAGUUGGCUUCAGCAUCCUGCUGAGUGAGGUUGGAAGUUCUAUCCUAGAUAGGAGGUCUGACCUAUUUCUGAUUUUACAAGCACUCUCUUGCGUAGUGUUGGUCACUCCCACAUAUGCAGCAAGUAUUAUUGAGAUGAUAGUAGGGUCAAUUCCCAUGAUUCUUACUGCAGUGUUGGCAAGUCCUACCGCGUUC